rnacentral:rRNA from 1 species
UAACCUGCCCAAGAGAUCGGGAUAACACCUGGAAACAGAUGCUAAUACCGGAUAACAACAGAUGAUGCCUAUCAACUGUUUAAAAGAUGGUUCUGCUAUCACUCUUGGAUGGACCUGCGGUGCAUUAGCUAGUUGGUAGGGUAACGGCCUACCAAGGCGAUGAUGCAUAGCCGAGUUGAGAGACUGAUGGCCACAUUGGGACUGAGACACGGCCCAAACUCCUACGGGAGGCAGCAGCC